rnacentral:rRNA from 1 species
AUUGAACGCUGGCGGCAUGCUUUACACAUGCAAAUCGAACGGCAGCGCGGGCUUCGGCCUGGCGGCGAGUGGCGAACGGGUGAGUAAUGCAUCGGAACGUGCCCAGUAGUGGGGGAUAGCCCGGCGAAAGCCGGAUUAAUACCGCAUACGACCUGAGGGUGAAAGCGGGGGACCGAAAGGCCUCGCGCUAUUGGAGCGGCCGAUGUCGGUUUAGCUAGUUGGUGGGGUAAAGGCUUACCAAGGCGACGAUCCGUAGCUGGUCUGAGAGGACGACCAGCCACACUGGGACUGAGACACGGCCCAGACUCCUACGGGAGGCAGCAGUGGGGAAUUUUGGACAAUGGGGGCAACCCUGAUCCAGCCAUGCCGCGUGCGGGAAGAAGGCCUUCGGGUUGUAAACCGCUUUUGUUCGGGAAGAAAUCCUCUGGGCUAAUACCCCGGGGGGAUGACGGUACCGGAAGAAUAAGCACCGGCUAACUACGUG